rnacentral:rRNA from 1 species
CGGCCCAGACUCCUACGGGAGGCAGCAGUGGGGAAUAUUGGACAAUGGGCGCAAGCCUGAUCCAGCCAUGCCGCGUGUGUGAAGAAGGCCUUUUGGUUGUAAAGCACUUUAAGCGAGGAGGAGGCUCCUUUAGUUAAUACCUAAAGUGAGUGGACGUUACUCGCAUAAUAGCCCGGCUACUUUGUGCCUCACCCCGGUAUCAGAGGUCUACCGUAUCGAUUCUGGCGUAAGAACAAGCGGGCGAGGUUGCUUCGGUAACUGAGCUAGCGGCGGACGGGUGAGUAAUGCUUAGGAAUCUGCCUAUUAGUGGGGACAACAUUCCGAAAGGAAUGCUAAUACCGCAUACGCCCUACGGGGGAAAGCAGGGGAUCUUCGGACCUUGCGCUAAUAGAUGAGCCUAAGUCAGAUUAGCUAGUUGGUGGGGUAAAGGCCUACCAAGGCGACGAUCUGUAGCGGGUCUGAGAGGAUGAUCCGCCACACUGGGACUGAGACACGGCCCAGACUCCUACGGGAGGCAGCAGUGGGGAAUAUUGGACAAUGGGCGCAAGCCUGAUCCAGCCAUGCCGCGUGUGUGAAGAAGGCCUUUUGGUUGUAAAGCACUUUAAGCGAGGAGGAGGCUACUUGGAUUAAUACUCUAGGAUAGUGGACGUUACUCGCAGAAUAAGCACCGGCUAACUCUGUGCCAGCAGCCGCGGUAAUACAGAGGGUGCGAGCGUUAAUCGGAUUUACUGGGCGUAAAGCGUGCGUAGGCGGCUUCUUAAGUCGGAUGUGAAAUCCCUGAGCUUAACUUAGGAAUUGCAUUCGAUACUGGGAAGCUAGAGUAUGGGAGAGGAUGGUAGAAUUCCAGGUGUAGCGGUGAAAUGCGUAGAGAUCUGGAGGAAUACCGAUGGCGAAGGCAGCCAUCUGGCCUAAUACUGACGCUGAGGUACGAAAGCAUGGGGAGCAAACAGGAUUAGAUACCCUGGUAGUCCAUGCCGUAAACGAUGUCUACUAGCCGUUGGGGCCUUUGAGGCUUUAGUGGCGCAGCUAACGCGAUAAGUAGACCGCCUGGUGGUGGGGUAAAGGCCUACCAAGGCGACGAUCUGUAGCGGGUCUGAGAGGAUGAUCCGCCACACUGGGACUGAGACACGGCCCAGACUCCUACGGGAGGCAGCAGUGGGGAAUAUUGGACAAUGGGCGAAAGCCUGAUCCAGCCAUGCCGCGUGUGUGAAGAAGGCCUUUUGGUUGUAAAGCACUUUAAGCGAGGAGGAGGCUACUUAGAUUAAUACUCUAGGAUAGUGGACGUUACUCGCAGAAUAAGCACCGGCUAACUCUGUGCCAGCAGCCGCGGUAAUACAGAGGGUGCGAGCGUUAAUCGGAUUUACUGGGCGUAAAGCGUGCGUAGG